GCUAAGAAUCCAAGUGUUGAAUAGAAGAAGUCUGGCCUGGUAGCAAGAAUGCUCUCAAACCAAAUUACAAAUUUCACAAUCUUAUUUAUUUAUUUUUGCAAUUGCUCUAAAUUUAAUAUGAUACCUAAAAGCUUUUAAAUCCCCAUCAACCUAAAAUUUAAAAUUGCUUCAUCUACUUUUGUAGCUUAACUAAUGGUUUAAAAUCAUGGUUGUGGUUGUGGAAUGCAGUUGGGUGACUUUCUUGAUCUCCCUCCAAUAAGCAAGUUGCCUCUAAUGCAUGGUUUACUAGAAUUUGAAAUGCUGCUAUGCUAAUAUUUUCAAUGAAUUUUAAUG
rnacentral:misc_RNA from 1 species